AUUGAACGCUGGCGGCAUGCCUUACACAUGCAAGUCGAACGGCAGCACGGGGUCAGCCCUGGAGGCGAGUGGCGCACGGGAGUGUUAUACAGCGGAGCGUGCGCUCGCGUGGGGGAUCACGUCGCGAGAGUUGCUCUUAUACCACACACGCUCUGGAGGAGAACGCGGGGGCGCAUGGGCCUUCGCGGGCGGGGCGCCGGCGAUGUCAGAUUAGGUAGUUGGUGGGGUAAAGGCAUACCAAGCCGACGAUCUGUAGCUGGUCUGAGAGGAAGAUCAGCCACACUGGGACUGAGACACGGCCCAGACUCCUACGGGAGGCAGCAGUGGGGAAUUUUGGACAAUGGGCGCAAGCCUGAUCCAGCCAUGCCGCGUGCAGGACGAAGGCCUUCGGGUUGUAAACUGCUUUUGUACGGAACGAAAAGGCUCUGGCUAAUACCUGGGGCUCAUGACGGUACCGUAAGAAUAAGCACCGGCUAACUACGUG
rnacentral:rRNA from 1 species